UACAUGAAUUAUAUUUCUUCAAUAACAUGCUGUCACAGGGUUAAACACUGAUUAUCAAUGUUUUUCAAGAAACCCAAGGCAGCUGACCAGAAAGGAAAUGUUGCAGCUCCAAGAAUUCCUGAAUCAGAAGCAUUGCCAAAGAACUGUGAAGUAUUGACCACAGAAUGGGGAAGCAGAGUCUAUUUACUGGGGACUAAUGAAUUCUGUACAAAAUGUCUACGUAAUGUAUCAAAGGUUAUCCAACAAAUUCG